rnacentral:rRNA from 1 species
UACGGAGGGGACUAGCGUUGUUCGGAAUUACUGGGCGUAAAGCGCACGUAGGCGGACCGAAAAGUUGGGGGUGAAAUCCCGGGGCUCAACCCCGGAACUGCCCUCAAAACUAUUGGUCUGGAGUUCGAGAGAGGUGAGUGGAAUUCCGAGUGUAGAGGUGAAAUUCGUAGAUAUUCGGAGGAACACCAGUGGCGAAGGCGGCUCACUGGCUCGAUACUGACGCUGAGGUGCGAAAGCGUGGGGAGCAAACAGG